UACGUAGGGGGCUAGCGUUGUCCGGAAUCAUUGGGCGUAAAGGGCGCGUAGGCGGCUCGGCACGUCCGUUGUGAAAUCGCCCGGCUCAACUGGGCGGGGUCAGCGGAUACGGCCGAGCUUGAGCAAGCUAGGGGGCAAUGGAAUUCCCGGUGUAGUGGUGGAAUGCGUAGAUAUCGGGAGGAACACCAGUUGCGAAGGCGGCCGACUGGACACAUAUUGACGCUGAGGCUCGAAAGCAUGGGGAGCAAACAGG
rnacentral:rRNA from 1 species